GACGAACGCUGGCGGCGUGCCUAAUACAUGCAAGUCGAACGCACAGUUUAUACCGUAGCUUGCUACACCAUAGACUGUGAGUUGCGAACGGGUGAGUAACGCGUAGGUAACCUGCCUGGUAGCGGGGGAUAACUAUUGGAAACGAUAGCUAAUACCGCAUAAUAUUGAUUAUUGCAUGAUAAUUGAUUGAAAGAUGCUAUUGCAUCACUACCAGAUGGACCUGCGUUGUAUUAGCUAGUAGGUGAGGUAACGGCUCACCUAGGCGACGAUACAUAGCCGACCUGAGAGGGGGAUCGGCCACACUGGGACUGAGUCACGGCCCAGACCCCUACGGGAGGCAGCAGUAGGGAAUCUUCGGCAAUGGACGAAAGUCUGACCGAGCAACGCCGCGGGAGGGAAGAAGGGUUUCGGAUCGUAAAGAUCUGUUGUAAGAGAAGAACGGGUGUGAGAGUGGAAAGUUCACACUGUGACGGUAGCUGACCAGAAAGGGACGGCUAACUACGUG
rnacentral:rRNA from 1 species